GAUGAAGAACGCAGCGAAAUGCGAUAAGUAAUGUGAAUUGCAGAAUUCAGUGAAUCAUCGAAUCUUUGAACGCACAUUGCGCCCCCUGGCAUUCCGGGGGGCAUGCCUGUCCGAGCGUCAUUACAACCCUCAAGCUCAGCUUGGUGUUGGGCCCCGCCGCCCCGGCGGGCCCUAAAGUCAGUGGCGGUGCCGUCCGGCUCCGAGCGUAGUAAUUCUUCUCGCUCUGGAGGUCCGGUCGCGUGCUCGCCAGCAACCCCCAAUUUUUUUCAGGUUGACCUCGGAUCAGGUAGGGAUACCCGCUGAACUUAAGCAUAUCAAUAAGCGGAGGA
rnacentral:misc_RNA from 1 species